CAAGGUGUCAGGAAGUCGACAGCAGCACGCGGUCAGCCAAACUUUGCGUUGCUAUAGUUACACCUGGGCCAUUGAGUAAAAAACGGUAAUAAAACACGUCUUUAUUCAAAGCUGUAUGAACUAAGCACUGUUAAAGCGACUUAACUGUGGAUUUCCCACACUUUAUGAUUAGUUUAGUCACCGGAAAGACAAAUGUCAGCGGUCAGAGGUGUUGGUGGUGGACGGAAGGAGGUGAGGAAGACGUACAGAAAAGCUGAGAAAUCAUCUUUAACCUCUGCUCAGAGCUUCAUGGAAAGAAACCCAAACGUUACUUGGGAGCUGAGGGCCAUUAAUAAAUCAGGCCUGGAACACACGUGGAAGCCGAGCAGGGUUAAAUACUUUAACACCUGUGUGACCAUGUCGUGGAACGUCGGAAGUUUUCUGACCAACCUAAUGGAGGUCGUUACGUUUCACCUUCGCGGUGUCGAGAGGAAAGCUCUCAGGUGUCCUGGUCUGAAGAGGUCUCUGAUGGAGACGGUACAUGUGCAGACUGAACGGGUGGAGGUCUUAGGACAGGAUGGAUUGUUGGAGCUCAAGUUGCUGGAGUCUGGUUUUCUCAUCGGUGUGUGGAAGCGUGAUCAAUCCGUGGCCUUUAUCAUGUCCAGCCUUCACUUGAACAACAUUGAAAGCACUGAGGAAUCGUCUGCUGGUAACAAUUUGUGGCCGAAGAACAAGCCCCCGUUUGAUGACGUUGACCCCGAGUAUGGUCUCCAUGGUUACCGUCUACACGUUGUCCUCCACAACACUAAUAAUGAG
rnacentral:lncRNA from 1 species